rnacentral:snRNA from 1 species
CAUUUUCCCUGGGAGGGAACAUAUCUUGAUCAUGAAGGAGGUUUUCGCAGAGUGAGGCUCAUCCAUCGCACUCUGGAUGUGCUGAUCCCUGCUGCGCUUUCCCCAAACGUGGGAAACUGGACUGCAUAAUUUGUGGUAGUUUUUUAAAAU